rnacentral:rRNA from 1 species
GGUAUACAGAGGUCCCGAGCGUUGCUCGGAUUUACUGGGCGUAAAGGGUGUGUAGGAGGUCGGAAAAGUCGAAUGUGAAAUCCCUCUGCCUAACGGAGGAACUGCGUUCGAAACUGUCUGGCUAGAGGUUCGGAUGGGGAAGCGGAACUCUCGGUGUAGCAGUGAAAUGCGUAGAUAUCGAGAGGAACACCGGUGGCGAAGGCGGCUUCCUGGACGAAACCUGACUCUGAAACACGAAAGCUAGGGGAGCAAACGGGAUUAGAUACCCCGGUAGUCCUAGCUGUAAACGGUGUGCGUUAGGUGUUGGCGGAUUCGACCCCGCCGGUGCCGAAGCUAACGCAUUAAACGCACCGCCUGAGGAGUACGGUCGCAAGGCUAAAACUCAAAGAAAUUGACGGGGGCCCGCACAAGCGGUGGAGCAUGCGGCUUAAUUCGAUGCAACGCGAAGAACCUUACCUGGCCUUGACAUGCAGCGUUCAGUCCCGGAAACGGGAUGGCCCGCAAGGGCGAGCUGCACAGGUGCUGCAUGGCUGUCGUCAGCUCGUGUCGUGAGAUGUUGGGUUAAGUCCCCCAACGAGCGCAACCCCUGUGUUUAGUUGCCGAAAGGUUCUCUAGACAGACUGCCCUCUUCAAGGGGGAGGAGGGUGGGGACGACGUCAAGUCAGGAUGGCCCUUAUGGCCAGGGCUGCACACGUGCUACAAUGCUCGGCACAAAGGGAAGCAAGACCGCGAGGUGGAGCAAAUCCCCAAAACCGAGCCCAGUUCGGAUUGAAGGCUGCAACUCGCCUUCAUGAAGCCGGAAUCGCUAGUAAUGGCGCAUCAGCUACGGCGCCGUGAUACGUUCCCGGG